rnacentral:rRNA from 1 species
UCUCCUGGCGCAGCAACGUCGUGUGAAGGAUGAAGGCUUUCGGGUCGUAAACCUCUGUCAGAAGGGAAGAAGGGCAUUGGUCUAAUAGGCCUUUGUUUUGAUGGUACCUUCAGAAGAAGCACCGGCUAACUCCGUCGCAGCAGCCGCGGUAAUACGGAGGGUGCAAGCGUUAUUCGGAAUUACUGGUCGUAAAGCGCACGUAGGCGGCGUUGUAACUCAGGGGUGAACUCCCACGGCUCAACCGUGGAACUGCCUUUGAAACUGCAGGGCUUGAAUCCUGGAGAGGGUGGCGGAAUUCCUGGUGUAGGAGUGAAAUCCGUAUAUAUCAGGAGGAACACCUGUGGCGAAGGCGGCCGCCUGGACAGGUAUUGACGCUGAGGUGCGAAAGUGUGGGGAGCAAACAGGAUUAGAUACCCUGCUAGUCCACGCCGAAAACGAUG